UGGAUUUAGACAAUUUACUAUAAUUUGAUUAUUUCUCUUUUUUGAUAAUUUGAUCAUUACUUUAGUAUAGUUUACCCACUUUUAUUUUUUUUAUUUUUUGAAAUGUAUAGUUUUAGUUUUUUAGGUCAAUAAUUUUUUUUUUGUUAAUUUUGUCAAAUUAGAACUUUUCUUUGAAAAAAACAUGUGGUGACAUGACAUACACAUAGGGUAAUUAGCAAAAAAUGUCACUUUU
rnacentral:lncRNA from 1 species